GCCAGUGUAGUAUAGUGGUUUUAGCACUGGACUACAACUCUGGAGACUAUGGUUCAAAUCCCAGCUCGGCCA